rnacentral:lncRNA from 1 species
UGAGAGAUAUGAAGAGAUAUGAUAUAAGGUAACUGUGGAUGACUGAGUGGCAGAAGAAGUAGAUAACAUGUUGCAAUGAUAGUCCUACAGAUAAGAUGGUUUAUGUUUUGGCCUAAUUGAUUUCCUUUGUGGAGUAGCAGUGGCAGGUUCAAUAGAAACAGGUUGAGAAGAAGAAAUAACAGGGUCUGGAACAAUAGAAGGAGGAGAUGUAGGUGGUAAAGAGGGUUGUCAGUAGCUUCUGAGAAAAAAGGUGAUGAAGAGGAAAUGAUUUUGGUGACAAAAUCCAAGGAAUUUGAAUUUUGUGUAUCAAUAGGUGAGUGCUUGUCACUAGUAAGAAAAGGAAAUAUGUUUUCAUAAAAUACUACAUUCCUUGAUAUAAAAAUUUCCCUUGAGUUGAAAUCUAACAAAAGGUAGCCUUUCACUCCUUUUUUAAAACCAAGUAAAACACAUUUUCUUACACGAGGCUGAAAU